AGAUAUAUUACAGAUAUAAAUAUCAUUAGUUUCUAAUAUAUGAAACAAUGUAUACAAAGUUUCAUUUAUAAAAUAUAAACAUUGCAAAUAAUCUUUCUUUCUUGACAAUGAAUUGAUUUUUCCAUGUUCCCAACUCAAAUUAUUCUCUGUCAUAGAGCAAAAACAAUCCAGACCAAAAAAAUAAAACUUACUAUAGCCUUUCUAUCACUGACAAGACUGUUCCAAUAAGUGCUCACUUCUUAUUGGUUGAAAACCAAAGGAAAAACUUUGAUUAUACAGACUAUCUUGGUAAUAUAGACAUGGUGUGUGUCAUUUUAGAAAGCCUAGGACCCAAGAAUUUCCAAUGUUUUAUUUUUGAGUGCUCCCUAUUAUUUUAUUCAGCCACUUCAAAAACAACUUUUCUAGUUUCUAUAUGUUCAGUCCUAAAAAUGAAUCCAUUUGAUGCUACUCAGAUACUGUACUUGCUUUGUAAAGAUGCUUGGGAUCAGUUUCCGCGUGUUUCUUUCUAUGGCAUAGUCUUUUUAUUUCUGUAAAAAAUAUAAAUUAUGACAAUAAAUUUUUUACUGAUAUUUAUAAUAGGAAAUAAUAAAUAAAAACAAUAACAAGAUUGAUGAUGAUAAUUGUAUUUUAUUCAAAGGCUUAUCUGUAAUUAAAGUUAAAUAUUAAUUAUAAAAUCAAAAGAUAACUUUAAAAUUAAAUAUGCUAAUUAAUUUUGAGAUUAAAACUUUCCAUAAUAAACUGUAUUCUUAGAGCUAAAGUGAUCCAUAUUGCCUCAAAAUACAUGAAUGUAUAUAAACCACUGAUAAAAACAAACUUUCAGGCUAAAUACAAUCCAACACAAAGAGGAUGUACAUCUUACAAGUUUAAUGGAUAUAAUAUUUUACUUUAUGCCUCUACAAUGUUGAGAAUAUAUUCAACUUAAACUUCUUGAAAUAUUUUAUAAAAUGUAAUAAAACAUUGAAAUUCUCCUCUUGCAUGAAUACUGUUUAAUAAUUAGAAAUGGUUUCCAAUCAAUCAAAUUUAAUUUAAAUUUCGUUAUAUAUGAAAAACACUGCCAUCUAAUAAUUAUUUCUAUAAAAAAUUCAAUCAAUUUGCCUUUCCCCUACCAUAAUAAAUGAAAGUAUUAUCAAGAUGGUAGAUUUUAAGUAAAUUUAAAUUUUAAAAUAAUUUUUUUA
rnacentral:lncRNA from 1 species